rnacentral:rRNA from 1 species
UUGGAGGUCCCGCCUGCCCUGUGACUUAAGUUUAACGGCCGCGGUAUUUUGACCGUGCAAAGGUAGCGCAAUCACUUGUCUUUUAAAUGAGGACCUGUAUGAAUGGCAAAACGAGGGCUUAACUGUCUCCCCUUUCUAGUCAGUGAAAUUGAUCUUCCCGUGCAGAAGCGGGAAUAACCCCAUAAGACGAGAAGACCCUGUGGAGCUUUAGACUAAGAGCGGACCAGAAACACGCCUAUUUAAAUAACAGUCGAAUAAUCUGACCCCCCAUCUCAUGUCUUCGGUUGGGGCGACCACGGGGGAAAAAAGAUCCCCCAUGAGGACUAAGAAAACUUUUCCUUCAACCCAGAGCCGCCGCUCUAAGCAACAGAAUUUCUGACCUUGCAGAUCCGGCAAAGCCGAUUAACGGAACCAGUUACCCCAGGGAUAACAGCGCAAUCUUCUUCAAGAGUCCAUAUCGACAAGAAGGUUUACGACCUCGAUGUUGGAUCAGGACAUCCUAUUGGUGCAGCCGCUAUUAAGGGUUCGUUUGUUCAACGAUUAA